rnacentral:rRNA from 1 species
GAUGAACGCUGGCGGCGUGCCUAAUACAUGCAAGUCGAGCGAACAGACGAGGAGCUUGCUCCUCUGACGUUAGCGGCGGACGGGUGAGUAACACGUGGAUAACCUACCUAUAAGACUGGGAUAACUUCGGGAAACCGGAGCUAAUACCGGAUAAUAUAUUGAACCGCAUGGUUCAAUAGUGAAAGACGGUUUUGCUGUCACUUAUAGAUGGAUCCGCGCCGCAUUAGCUAGUUGGUAAGGUAACGGCUUACCAAGGCAACGAUGCGUAGCCGACCUGAGAGGGUGAUCGGCCACACCGGAACGGAGCCACGGUCCAGACUCCUACGGGAGGCAGCAGUAGGGAAUCUUCCGCAAUGGGCGAAAGCCUGACGGAGCAACGCCGCGUGAGUGAUGAAGGUCUUCGGAUCGUAAAACUCUGUUAUUAGGGAAGAACAAAUGUGUAAGUAACUAUGCACGUCUUGACGGUACCUAAUCAGAAAGCCACGGCUAACUACGUG